rnacentral:rRNA from 1 species
GACGAACGCUGGCGGCGUGCUUAACACAUGCAAGUCGAACGGUAAGGCCCUUCGGGGUACACGAGUGGCGAACGGGUGAGUAACACGCGGGUGAUCUGCCCUGCACUUCGGGAUAAGCCUGGGCAACUGGGUCUAAUACCGGAUAGGAACAUGCGCUUCACGGUGUGUGGUGGAAAGCGUUUGCGGUGUGGGAUGGGCCCGCGGCCUAUCAGCUUGUUGGUGGGGUAAUGGCCUACCAAGGCGACGACGGGUAGGCGGCCUGAGAGGGUGAACGGCCACAAUGGGACUGAGAUACGGCCCAGACUGGUACGGUAGGCAGCAGGGGGAAAUAUUGCACAAUGGGCGCAAGCCUGAUGCAGCGACGCCGCGUGAGGGAUGACGGCCUUCGGGUUGUAAACCUCUUUCAGUAGGGACGAAGCGCAAGUGACGGUACCUACAGAAGAAGGACCGGCCAACUACGUGCCAGCCGCCGCCGUAA